UAGGGAAUCUUGGGCAAUGGGCGCAAGCCUGACCCAGCCAUGCCGCGUGUGUGAAGAAGGCCUUCGGGUUGUAAAGCACUUUCAGUCACGAAGAAAAGUUUCGGGUUAAUAACUCGGGACCUUGACGUUAAUGACAGAAGAAGUACCGGCUAACUCCGUGCCAGCAGCCGCGGUAAUACGGAGGGUACGAACGUUAAUCGGAAUUACUGGGCGUAAAGCGCGCGUAGGCGGUUUGUUAAGUGGGAUGUGAAAGCCCCGGGCUCAACCUGGGAACUGCAUUCCAAACUGGCUCACUAGAGUGUGGUAGAGGGAGGUAGAAUUUCCUGUGUAGCGGUGAAAUGCGUAGAUAUAGGAAGGAAUACCGAUGGCGAAGGCAGCCUCCUGGACCAACACUGACGCUGAGGUGCGAAAGCGUGGGGAGCAAACAGGAUUAGAUACCCCCGUAGUCC
rnacentral:rRNA from 1 species